rnacentral:piRNA from 1 species
UNGCCUGUGUGUAAACAGAUGGCCUGUCU